CAAGUUAGAAACAGUAAGAGAUUAAGAAUAACUAAUAACAAAGUAGAGCAACUAUAACAACACUAAUAAAAGCUAUGCAUCUGUGGUCUCUCAAAAUAUUUUACUGUACUGUACUCACCUGUCUUCAUCUUGUGAUGACAUAACAUGCCUUUGUGAUGCCACAACCUGUGAUGAGAGGAAGUGAGGUAAAUGAUGUAGGCACCACUAGCACUGUGACACUGUGUCAACCAGAUAACAAAGACAGCCAGUAAGGGACUAACAGGCAGGAGCAUAUACAGCAUGGAUAUGUCAGACAGAGGGAUGGACUGGGCAGGAUGAAGCAGGAUGGUGCAAGAUAUUAUCAUGCUACUCAGAAAGGCUGUAUAGAAAGAUUUGGACUUGGGCAGCUGUAGUAUUAUCCUGUGAGGACCACAGAUGUUACCUGUAAUAGUAAAAUAAUGAAGGUGAUCAUAGAAGACACUGCAGGUCUGUAUGAACUAAGGCAAGAAAAGGAACAAAGGUUGAGAGGCUUAGAGAAGAGCAAGCUUCCUUUUGAUAUGACUUCUCUAGAAAACCAGAAAGAUGCAUUACUCAGAUUAAUUAGAGUUUUUCAAGAUGGCUGACUGAAAAAUUAAUGUACAGAAAAGCAAUUCUGGGAGAGGGGAGGGAGAGGAGAGGAAGGGAAUCUUAAAAAAAUCAGAUGUAUUAUGUGCAUGCACCACUCCCCACAAUAAAUGUAAUCAUAUACUGCAGACAUUUGCUAAUAAAAAUAAAACAUUUUAAAAAUCAACCUUUCUACCAGCAACAAAUGAUGAGAAAAGGAAAUUUGUAAAAAGGUUUGCUUCAAUCAAGCAUAAAAAUCAAAUACCGAUGAAUAAAUAUAAAAGAUGGCCAAGAU
rnacentral:lncRNA from 1 species